GCCUUCGUGGCGUAAUGGUCAGCACACUGAGCCGGUAUUUCAGAGGUCCGUGGUUCGAUCCCCGGCGAAGGCA
rfam:Stegodyphus mimosarum contig112385, whole genome shotgun sequence.